rnacentral:rRNA from 1 species
CCUACGGGCGGCAGCAGUGAGGAAUAUUGGUCAAUGGCCGAGAGGCUGAACCAGCCAAGUAGCGUGAGGGAUGACUGCCCUAUGGGUUGUAAACUUCUUUUAUAAAGGAGUAAAACGCGGCACGUGUGCCUUUUUGCAUGUACUUUAUGAAUAAGGAUCGGCUAACUCCGUGCCAGCAGCCGCGGUAAUACGGAGGAUGCGAGCGUUAUCCGGAUUUAUUGGGUUUAAAGGGAGCGUAGAUGGGUUGUUAAGUCAGUGGUGAAAGUUUGUGGCUCAACCGUAAAAUUGCAAUUGAUACUGGCAGUCUUGAGUACAGUUGAGGUAGGCGGAAUGCGUGGUGUAGCGGUGAAAUGCAUAGAUAUCACGAAGAACCCCGAUUGCGAAGGCAGCUUACUAAACUGUGACUGACACUGAUGCACGAAAGUGUGGGUAUCAAACAGGAUUAGAUACCCUUGUAGUC